rnacentral:rRNA from 1 species
GACGAACGCUGGCGGCGUGCUUAACACAUGCCAGUCGAACGGGAAGGCCUGCUUUCUCUUGUGGAUUGCGGGUACUCGAGUGGCGAACGGGUGAGUAACACGUGAGUUAUCUGCCCCCAACUUGGGUAUAAGCCUGGGAAACUGGGUCUAAUUCCCGAUAGGACUGCAGGGUGGUGCCUGUUGUGGAAAACGAUUUUCUAGUGGUUGGGGAUGAGCUCGCGGCCUAUCAGCUUGUUGGUGGGGUAAUGGCCUACCAAGGCGGCGACGGGUAGCCGGCCUGAGAGGGUGGACGGCCACAUUGGGACUGAGAUACGGCCCAGACUCCUACGGGAGGCAGCAGUGGGGAAUAUUGCACAAUGGGCGGAAGCCUGAUGCAGCGACGCCGCGUGGGGGAUGACGGCCUUCGGGUUGUAAACUCCUUUCGACCGCGAGGAAGCCACCUGGUUGGAAGGGUGGUGACGGUAGUGGUAGAAGAAGCACCGGCUAACUACGUG